GAGUAAUGUCUGGGAAACUGCCCGAUGGAGGGGGAGUAACUACUGGAAACGGUAGCUAAUACCGCAUAACGUCGCAAGACCAAAGAGGGGGACCGUUCGGGCCUCUUGCCAUCGGAUGUGCCCAGAUGGGAUUAGCUAGUAGGUGGGGUAACGGCUCACCUAGGCGACGAUCCCUAGCUGGUCUGAGAGGAUGACCAGCCACACUGGAACUGAGACACGGUCCAGACUCCUACGGGAGGCAGCAUG
rnacentral:rRNA from 1 species